CUUUAUUCCACCCCCUCAGACAAUAUUCAACAUGCUGUAAUCAUCAUAGCGCAAUGUCAACAUGUAUUAACUAAAGAACUAAACAAAAUAUUAAGAGUGUACUUAACUAAUGGUAACUGAGGAGCAGAAGAUACUGUUCAAGGACAUUCAGUAUACCAGGUGGUAAGUAUUUGAUCAGCUAUUGAACCAUUUCAGGAGGAACUUUUAAAAAAAUCGAAAAUUGAGACACAAUAUAAUUUCUCUAUUAUUUUGAUGUUUACUUAUAUAUGAU
rnacentral:lncRNA from 13 species